AGAUUAUAUUGACAAAGAUAGUGGUGAAAAAGGAGUUGUGAAGGGGAACUUGCUAUUCAAGACACAAGGAGCGAGUCCGGUCGAGAAAGCACCAGAGGUGUAACUAUGGUGUAUGAAACACCAUCUUUUACGUUGCCUCUUGUUUUGAAUUAUACAAUGUAUCUUGUGCCAACUUAGGACAUAUCUUCUUUGUGAAGCAUGUAAACUCUAAUCCUUUUUAUUAAAAGUAUUUAUUUGACUAA